CAGUAGCCGCGGUAAUACGGAGGGUGCAAGCGUUAAUCGGAAUUACUGGGCGUAAAGCGUGCGUAGGCGGUGAGUUAAGUCUGCUGUGAAAUCCCCGGGCUCAACCUGGGAAUAGCAGUGGAUACUGGCUCGCUAGAGUGUGUCAGAGGAUGGUGGAAUUCCCGGUGUAGCGGUGAAAUGCGUAGAGAUCGGGAGGAACAUCAGUGGCGAAGGCGGCCAUCUGGGACAACACUGACGCUGAGGCACGAAAGCGUGGGGAGCAAACAGGAUUAGAUACCCGUGUAGUCCAUGUCUCUUAUAC
rnacentral:rRNA from 1 species